rnacentral:lncRNA from 1 species
CAUGCAGCAAAAGGGCAGCCAUAUAUUCCCCUCUUUCUCUCCCUCACGCACACCAUCAGCAGGGCGCCUCCUCCUAUUCUCCUCUCUCCCUCACACCACCACCAGAGUAACAGCCCCCUCCAUCUUCCUCUCCCUUCCCCAUGGCAGCAUCUCCAACUUCCUCAGUUGUUCAUCCACCAAAAAUGGAGCCCCCACGCAGCAGCGGUUCCAUUUUGCCGCUGCGUGAUUUACCUCAUCGCCAGU